ensembl:lncRNA
CGGUCUGAGCCGCUUGGACUGUCUGCGCUAGUCCUCAUGCAAGUAAACGUGGCUGCUUUCCUGAAGCAGCUUGAGAUCAGAUGACGAUGAUGAUAGUGAUGAUUUCCAAGAGGAGGACGGUUCAGUCCUCCACAACACAGGUUCAGGGGGGCAGUCGAGAGUUUGGUUGAAGAUUGUCAGUCGACAUCUGUCGCCUUACAGAAUCCUCGAUGUUGUUGUAAAGAGGAAACGCCCGUCAGUAAAGACACUCUCUGCCAAAAAACAGUAUACAGUAUCAGUGGAUUGGCCAUGCCGGCUCAUAUGCAUUUUGUCCUGGAAUAAACCUUGGUGAGCCAUGCAGGUAAAAUCUACCGGAGGAACACACUGGAUGUCUACACAAACACAGACUAACACACACAGAAUCCGUUCAGUUAUUACUUUAUUACAUCGAGGACACACAACCAGAGGAGAGCAAAGCAUGACCAUUGUGCCCUGGAAUUAAAUACAGGCGAUUCCUCAAAACGUGUUCUUCUUUCCCCUCACUUGCUCAGCGGCUGCUGUUGAACCCGAGGAACUGUUUUGUACGCAGCGUUUGCACUCUGCUCGCCUCCUCGUUCCUCCUCCACCUUCUUCCCUUCAGAGGGGUUAUCUUGGGAGUUGACCAUAAGACGGGUCAGCUUGCAGGAGGAUUAUGUGAGCUGCACUCUUAAACGAGGCCUGCAGCUUUCCUGCCUGUUCCUCCCUGACCGUCUGUUUCCACGGGAUCAUCAGCAAACCGGACAAUUUGAUCCACGUUUCAUGAUUGGUGAAGUAAAGCUUUCUAGUAAUGGGACUAGUGAUGUGAGUAAUUCUUCCAAUUCUGAUUGACAGCCGGAAGACUACUUGUAACAUUUACAUAUUGUGUGAGUGACAUCAUUCGGCGACUUAAUACCGAUUAGAAAGGCCUCAGGGCCUCAAAUGAAAUGGACCCUGCUUGCAUCAGCCAGCACCGGGUUUCCUGUAUGAGUAAACGUUUUCUACCCGGCACAGGGACAACUAUGGACGCGCUGGUGUUCACGCUCGUACAAAUACUCAGGGAUGCAAGUGUUGCUAGUGUGCGGAUCAGCAGGUAGCAGGUCGGUGACGGGUCUCUGAUCCAUCGGGAUGAUCCUGUGUGAGGCGCCGGGGGGGUAGAUGUAGAAUCACACCCAACAGAAAUAUCACACAGAGAAAACAGUAUCAACCCUGCCCUUGUUUUCCAUUCCAUGUGUUUGUGUUGCCUCCUGAAACCCAAUGAAGACCCAAAUACAUUUGACUUUCUGUCAAUUAUGUUACGAUCAUUCCUCCCAACACUUGAGCUCUCCUCUCCCCCCUUUCCUUCGCUCAUCUCAUCCGUAAGGAGGACAGAGCAACGCUACAUCAUCUCCGACUCCUCCCACAUCUGUCACAUGUCUCAAAGGAGCUCCUCCAACAAGGUGACGGUUUGAAGGAGUCUCCGGGUAACAUAUGGAGAGAAGUUUCCACAGAGAAACGCCCGUCAUUAGGACUUUAACCAGAAGCCCCUCACUGAUGACCCCGCUCUGUGUGAGUGUGUGUGUGCGUGCUUGUGUGUGUGCGUGUGUGUGUGUGUGCGUGUCUGCGGGAGGGACCUAGUUGUCGGAUGACACCCUGCUGUAUCUCGACACCCUCAUACAUCACUCUACAACAACUCACACACACUUUUUCCUCAGCACAUACGCAAAAAAGCAGCAUUCUUCCCCCAUCCUGGCACACACACACACACACACACGGGUAGAGGCCGCGCCGAAAGUCAGGUAUCGUGUGGUUUAAUUAAUUACCGUCUGAAAGUGACCAAGGUCAGAGCGUCGCUCGGCUGGAGAGCUUUGCAGAGGUCACGACCUCUCCACCCGACUCCUCCCAAGCUGUCAGCUGUCUGGAAGGUGAAGAGAAAGCACCUUAAACUCUUAGUUCACACAGAGCCGACUGUCCAAACACCUCGUGUUCCUCCCAGAUUCUACCAUGAAAGCGUUGGGUUCUACAUCACAAAGGAAAUAUAAAGGGAUCAAAAGCACCUGCUGUCUCUCUCUCAGGUGAUUGAUGGUUUAAGCUGCUUUAUUGUAAUGUUGUUAAAGUUGAACCUUUGUACUGAUUCAGUUUAAUAAAAGCUGGUAAAACUAAAUAUACGAAUCUAGAUAAUGAAAAUGAAAUGAAACUGAUAAUGAAUUUGGGUGUGGAUUAGAUUGUGAGUGACGCUUGGAUGGAUUAUCAAAAGCAAAGUCAAAGACGGAGAUACUAAAGCCAAAUAAGAGAUAAUAAAUGUCCCUUCAAACACAUUUAGGGACCCUUCAACCCAUUUCAUUAAUUAUGUUUCAAAAACUAAUUAGGUGAAGCUGGAGGAUUUGAUCAAACACAGUCGAUUGUAAAAAAUGAAAAAUGUACAGAUGGAAAUGUCGAGCAGUGAGUUAAAUGAAUGAAAAAAAAAAAACAUUGCCAGAGUUUAAUCUCCGCUGCUGUUGACAACAUUGUUGUUGUGUUUUAUUUGUCAUACGUGUAAUCUGUCUAUUGUCGAAGGCUCCAACUGAAACAGGUGCAGACUAAAGUGCAAAACAUUUCAUUAGAAAAGUCUUCUGUCUAAAAUAACACCAGUGCAUAACUCCUGUCCUGUGAAUAGUUCAUGCUAACAGGUGUUAGCCUGCUAACCACGAACACCCAUCGCUGGUGCUUCCAGCACAUACACACACAUCCGAGACUCUCAUUUAAACCAAAAUACUAUAUUCUCUGCAACUGAAAAAUGUGUUUAUUGUAAGAAGUUUAUCCUGUACUUUAUCACCAUAACAAUAUUUUAUUAUUACUCUAGAUGGGAAGAAAAAGUAAAUAGCACUUCAGAUCAGUGGACUAACAUAUUGGAUGUGACAUUCUCGUGUUUAAAUAAAGUAGACACAGAUGGAGGAACAGUGAGAGGGAGUAAGUCGUGAGAUCGCACAGAGAUAAUGAGAGAGAGACAGAGACGAGACUCAAAAUCACAGGUUCUUAAGUACAACGACGUCCCGCUACCCGCCGAGCCAACCAGAACAUUACAGAUGUUUCUCUGUCGGAGGAGCCGAUGCCCCGGGAGUUUAAAUGAAGCCGACCUCAGAGGAUCUUGUGCGUCUGUCGUGAGGUUUUUACAGAAAUCUAAUUAUUAUCUUCAAUUUAACAAGGUCACGGCACUAUUCCUGGGUAUGAAAGGGUUUUAUCAGUCACACAUUGUGCGACGUGGUGCUCAAGUCAGUGGGGUUUCUUAUUGUGUUUUACCGCCUUUUCAAGCUCAAGUGUUUCAUCUUUGUGCCUUUAGAUGAGCACAUCUAAAACCAUGAACACGUCAAAACAAUCACCAACGUUUGUUUGAUCGUCCCCUCAUAUGUAUUUUUUAUAAGACUAAUAAUAGUACCUCUUGCUGAAGCGACAUUUAAAAAAAAGGAAAAACAGGAAAAGCUUUUAAAAACAUAAAAAACAUGUUUCUCUAACAGAUUUUUCACAUUUCCCAGGAGUCAGAGAGGGUUGUGCGGCCCGAGGGUUCUCCUCUGGUCCGAUUGCGCGUGGACCGGGGGCCUUUCCUCCCGGCUCGCGUGGCGCUGGUGGAGCAGGCUGAGGUCUGACGUUGCUUGUCAGAGUUGUUGUGUGCGAAGAUGAUUGGAAAUAAAGGACCUGGCGACCCUCAAGUUUAUGAUUCGGUCACAAUCCUCUGUUUUGUACGAUUUACCACCUAAAUAUGGUUUAAAGAAACAGGCAUUCUGAAAAGCAGAAUUCAUGACACACUUCACCCACCUGUGUGUUUGAUAAUGUGCUGGCAACACUACCAACAUUUUAACUUGCUGCCGGCGUCCGUUUGACUUUUUUUGGGCUGCGCCGGUGACCUUCUGCAGACCUUGUUAGUGAGGAGAGUGCUGCUCCAUGCUGAUAGCUUUUUAAACCCCGACUUGCUGCUGCAGGAUGAAAGCUUUGUAAUCCUCAAAGAACACACACUCACAAAUGACUCGUGUUGAUUAAACAACCACAAACACACUGUUUUUUUGUUUUUAGCAUGUGUCACAAUCACAAAAUGGAAAAGGGUUUGAUAUGCUUGGUGGCAGCAAAUAGUAUGAAUGGACUGGUAGAUGGAUGGACAGGUAGGUAACUAAGUGGGUAGGUAGCCAGGUAGGGAGAUUGAUGGAUGGAUGGAUUGGACAGGUAGGUAACUAAGUGGGUAGGUAGCCAGGUAGGUAGAUUGAUGGACGGAUGAAUUGGACAGGUAGGUAACUAAGUGGGUAGGUAGCCAGGUAGGAGGAUUGAUGGACGGAUGGAUGGACAGGUAGGUAACUAAGUGGCUAGGUAGCCAUGUAGGGAGAUUGAUGGAUUGGACAGGUAGGUAACUAAGUGGGUAGGUAGCCAGGUAGGGAGAUUGAUGGAUGGAUGGACAGGUAGGUAGCUGGGAAUUGGUAGCCAGGUAGGUGUUUGGGUGGAUGGAUCAAACAAAGAAGUUUAAAAUGUGCUUUUUUAAACUCAAGGACAAUGCUCACCUUGGGUGGGCUGAACAUAUGAAAAAACAGUGAUGCGGAGGGCCCCGAGCCCCUCCGGGGUCAGUGUCGUCCUGAAAGAACACCAGCUGCUCACGCAGAUGGGUUUGGAGCACGCUGAUAAAAACAGUGUUAGAUCCAGAACAGAUAGUCAGGCAAGGAGGCCGAUAGAAGUUAAAAACGAAUGAAAUGAGAAAAAGCCCUGUUGAUGAUGGUGUGAUCGCGUUGGAUGAGUCCUGCUGCCUCCUCGUCAGUCACAUCAACAGAAGUAUUGGACAGUUUUAACAUUUGAAACAUUUUUCAGUUUUUUAUUAUCCAGGCAUUUCGUUUGAAACCUACAAAUGUCAAACAUUCGGUGGUGCCAGAAGUAAAGUCAGGGGAUCACCAAAGCCAGUCGUGGGGAUCUUCUGGGGACCGUGAAUGUUUGCACAAAAUGUGAGCCAAGUUACGGUUCUCCUCACGGUGAGUGAAAACUCAACUGCUUUGAGGCACCGAAGGAAAAUCUCCCGAAUCACCACAGUUUAACGUUUAGUCCUCUGGAGACCAACAAUGUCUAUGGAAAAUGUGACUGCUGCCAGUUGUUGUUCUGGGUUAAGAUGUUAAAACAACAUCGCCAUCCGUAAGCCGUGCCACAACAAACGAAAUGCUGCAAAACAACGAGAAGAUCACAUCGAGUCAGUGUGAAAGAACAAGUAGGAAUUUUCCAGCUCCUCUCUCUCUUUUCCUCUUGUUCGUCGUGGUCGUAAUGAGGACUGCUGGAUCUCGCUGGAAGGGGGAUUAUGUCUGGUUUCACCUAUGAGGGAGUUGAAAGGCAUCGCCCCAGGUUGGUCGAAUAAUGACUGAUGUUGGGUUAACACUCUGUUGUCAGGUUUCAAUCGGUUGCCUCAUUAUCUGAGUCGCUGUCAAGCAGCACGCUCAGCUGGGUAUUAAUGUGAACCAAAUGAGACGGAACAAUAACCAGGUACAGCGUGGUGGCAUUUAAGGCUUUGCAAGAUCACUUAAAGACGAUUCGUUUGAUUUGAAUUGUAACAGGGCAACAACCUCUGUUUGUGAAAAAGGGAAGUUAAUAAUGUCUCGUGUCCACAAGUGUCUUAAACCUGCAUUCCCUCUGCUGAACAGCAAAAAGACGUUUGGUUUUAUGGAAGUCAAAGAGGAAAGGACCCUCACUUGGUUUAUUGUUUAUGGUGUCAAUCUCUUCUUCGAGGCUUCUUCAAUGCAGCACAAUGUUUAUUUCGUAAAAUAUGUUCAAUUUAGAGUCAAACAGACCAUAAAGAAGUUUAUACUAUAAGCCGGCCUCACUAGGAUCGUCAUACUGAGGCUUUAAAACAACAGUCCGAGAAACCAAUGGGUCACGACACAAUGACCAUUUGUUUCAUUCAGUAUUUGGGUCUAAUCAAAAUCAAAUAAUGCAAACAACAAACUUUUAUGGAGAAAAAAGGAAUAAAAAUCUACUCCAAAGCCAGAUCAUAGAUUGUAUUUAAGUGAAGUCAGAUUUUGAUGAAUGAUCGAUGAAUGUUAAUUGGACCAUAGGAUGUCCAGUUUUAGUCUCUUUCUGAGGUUCAAGUACUUUGAUAUGAUGGUUUUUCUUUAAUCUGUCGCUGCCAGGCAGCACAAGCGACUUUGACAUUCUGCACUGUGAGACAUUUUCUUUUGAGUUUCAAACCAGUAUCAACGGAUACAAAAGGAAACCAUUUCUAUGAGUGGAGACGUCUUAGCGUGUUUCUCAUUUGGGUAAUACUCCUCUCACACAAAUCCUCCCACGCAGUUCUAAACUGACCUCCAGUGACUCUGAAGCCGAAGAUGAGAUAAACCUCUCAAUGGAACUCCUUCCUCCCUCUGUCCUCUUCGAGAGGGCUCCGGGGCGCAGAAGACAAACAGGAACACCGUCGUCCCCCGGGACGGACGAUAAGGUCACCGCGGAAGCGUGUCGUUAUACGCACGCGUGUGUGUGCGGGUAUAAGACAUGUAUGUAUCCGUGUGUGUGAGGUCAGCGUGAAGCUGAGAGGUCGGAGUGAAGGGAGGAAGGAGAUAAGCGAGCAGAUAAAGUGUGCGUACGACUUGAGGUCGUGUCCGUCUCAGUUGGUUGGUUUCUUUUACCGUUGUAAUGUCAAAGUUUCAAGGGUAAGUGUAGACCGAGCGUUGAUGGAGUGCACAUCGGCCUGCACUGCUCCCGUUGUGACGGGUAUUUCUAAUUAACGCCGGUCCAACGCUGCACAAAUGUGGCUGACGGGGCAGCUCGCAGCGAUCCGCGCCCUUCGGAGCAACGCGUCUGUCAAUGCACACGAGCCGCUGACCUUUUGUUUACAGAGCCAUCGCUCUCAACGCGACCGCGAAUAACAGGCGGCUGGCGACCCCGAUGGGUUUUUAAUCCACCUGCAUGUUAUCAGUUCGCCGCAGAACUAUUUCUGUUUGUUUAUGACAUUAUAGCCGCGAGUAUCAAAUCAUAAUUGGACAUAUUGUUUGGAUCCAAGCCGGACUCCUGAUGUAUUCUAUUAUGUCAAAUAAGCCGUUUCUCUUUAGUAGACAGCGAUAAUUGAAAAUAUAGGUUUCAGGUUCUUUCGCGCUACAACAGUUGACUGUUAAUGUGUUUAUUACUCGCUAACGUUUUACUACGAAACAAUGUGGAAGCUUAAAUAAAUGACUUAUUUCACCGUUGAAUGAAAUGAAUUAUGUUAAGAAAAUGUCGACCCUGACACCUAAAAGUUUAGUUUACAUUCUUUGAUUUCUAGCGUAGCACCAAAGACAGUAGAUUGAUACCAAAGACACAUAUUGAUAAUUUGAUCGGCUUUUAAAGUUUCUUGUGUCACCAAUUCCUGUACAUGAUAUUGAAACCCAUUCAUUUCCGUGCGUAUGAACCGCUUUAACAGUUUUUGAGAAUAAGGUCCUAUUCCUAUUUCUGGGUCCUAAGUAGAAUCCAGGAAAAGCCAAACUCUUGCAUAUUGUUUAUACGGGGAACGUGCCUGCAGGCUUUCACAGAGGCAGCGUUCUGACUGUUUGACUGCGUAGUCGGACUUGAGAGAACAAGAAGGGAGUGAAUGGAAAAUGCAGGAGGCUGUUUGUGCUUUCGCAUUGGCUCAGUUCCCCUCAUAUAUACAUCGAUAUCACACGGCCUUCACCUCGGCUGUGAGAGACAAAGGUCACUGCAUGCGGGGAGAGAGAGAGAGAGAGAGAGAGAGAACAGUUUUUACAGGUUUGCCUUGAGUGAUGUUAUGCGGUUUCUUCACGUCGGACCAGUUGUUGGAAAAUGCGUAUUACUGAAAGUGUCCUAAAUAAAUCAGCUGUUCUAACCGGGGGAAACUAUUUUUUGAGGGAGCGAAAAAGAGGGGAAAAGGUGUGAGGAAGCACAGUGUGUGUGGGUAGUGAACAAGGGGAAACAUACUCAGCCUAUCCUCUCCGCCUCCGUAUUACCUAGUUUAAAGGUCAAACGCUUUGAGGUUUGCUUUGAAAUGCGUUUGAAGCUCCACCUUGUGGCAGCUGUCAGAGGAUUUAUAACGGAAGCCUGAAGACCAGCAGGUCCUGGAGCUCCGCUCACGUCCCAAUAAAUCCCAAAAUAAAACUGCUGUUUGGCUGCUGAAACGCCGUUCACAUCCACCAGUGGUCAUUGGACAAAGUACAGCACAAAAAGGAGACAUUUGUGUGUGUGUGUGUGUGUGUGUGUGUGGACCAACAGUGGGAGAACAAUAAAUGCCUGUUUGCAUGGCUGAAGGUGACUGUGACAGUUUUAGCCUGAGGGCGUCGUUUUCCUGACGCGGAGUCUGCAGAAGGUUGAUGUGUGUACUUAUUGCUGCAAACACACAAACACAGUCCACAUAUCCGAUGCGUUCCCACGCUUAAUAGUUGAAAUAGUUGAGUGUGUUAAAUAAAUACAUGCUUUAUAUGUAGGUUAUUUAUACGGAGGCACAAUGACGCAACAACACGAAUGUGUUUAAAGCAUAAAGUCAAAUAGUGCGACACAGUGCGUGUGCUGCGCCUUAAGCAGUAAAUGACCUUCUGAGUUACCUUAGUCCUGCACUCGCACAGUCGCACUGGAGACGCACUUGCACACACAGGCCCGUGCACAUGUAUUGUGCACGCACACACACGUGGACACAUCUGUGUUGUGGCCCACUUUUGAGUUCAACACAUGGCGUCAUUUCUCUGCGAAGCGGCUGCGGCGCUGGAGCACAUCGCAGCAACUCUCACAGUGACUAACAAACGCACACGCAGACACACGCAGACACACAAAAACUGUUUUUAGACACAUGGACACUUACAUGAUAUGAUAAAACACGUACAACGUGUCCCUACUUCUUGCCUCAAAAAAUAAGCAUCAUUUGUGCACCAAUCAUAUACGUGUGUGUGUGUGUGUGUAAGUGUACGUGGUUUGUUGUCUUCAUGCACACAUCACACUGACUCUAUCGGCUGCAUCUAUUGAGCUGAAAGCUGAAUAAUUAUCUGCCUUUUCCUUCCUGCUUCCAUCUCUCAUCUCUGCUUUUUAUUUUGUUUUUGCCUUUUGUCUUUUGUCUGGCACAGACACACACACACGCACACACACACACACACACACACACACACACACACACACGGGAACACACAUAUCCGCUCUCUCCUUUAUAAUUAUUUCCACAACAAUGAUUGGGCCAGUUGAUUAAAAAGGGUCUUGUGGGAGCUGUUUCCUGGUUAAUGGCAUCUCCGUUCUACACAACGAGUUCACACAGCACAAAACAAUACACAAAACCAAACACACGGUAUGCACACGCACGCAAACAUGCAUGCGUGUGCAAAUACAAACUUUGCAUGCAAGGAAUACACAAAAGGCACAUGCAGACACACAAUCAUCGGCUGAGUCAUUUGAACACACAAUCCAUUAUCAGACAUAUUUUUAGCUGAAAUUGUGCAACUAAAUGCACCAACAAUCCUUCCAAAAGGGCAAAUCUUGAAUUUAUCCACAACAUCUCACAUAUUUUUCCAAAAGACCAGUUUUCAUUUUUUCAUUUUUAAUAUGUGGUUUAUUGCGGCUUGAAGGUCGUUGUGUUGACCUUCGUUCUCGCUGGUCGUGACAACGACGCACACGCAAGGUUGACUGCUGUUAACAGCUGUUAACUGUUUUCAUUUGCUGAGGGUUACAAACGGUGAUUAGUUGGAGACCCGGUGGAAUUCAUACAACACGAUAGGGAGAAAUUGGUUAUGGGUAUUGUUGCAUGUCUGAUCAUGUUAUAAAUAUGUUCCUCUUACCCUGAGUGAAAUUAAUCUACAUCCAUUUCAGAGGCUUCGCAAGAAAAGCUUUCAUUGUGUUUCAUUGUGAUCAAAUAGCAAACACACGUGGAGGUGCUUCAUGCGUGUGGCUGACAGAGUGAUGAUACAGUUCACGCUUUGAAUUUCUCAAAUACUGCGCUACGCCACGUCCCAAAGGUUGAGUCACGUGACUUGGACUCGUUUCUCUGUUCGUGCCCACCCAGUCCACACUUAAGCCCCCGAAUCCACCUCCCAGCAGCCUGCAGCUGCAGAGGGCAACCGGGAAGAACCGGCAUUACGUCUACGAGCACCAGCUGGAUCCGGCAAUCGAAGACAACGUUCACCUCUGCGAUGCUCAACAACAACAACAACAACAACAUCUGGAGGGAGAAUUUCCCAAAUGCAUUUACAUUCGGUAAAAAGGACAUUUUGACUUGUUUUGGGCUUAAGAAUCAACGUUUAGUGCUGCAGUUUAGGACUUGACCCUCCAAACAAGGGCCUGGCGCCUCUUCUGUUGUCUUCUAAGCAGACCUGCGGCAUUCAGCAGAUGAAGUGCCCUUUCACAAUAAGAGACUUGAGCGGUGUAUAUAUAUAUAUAUUCCUGGGCCGUCUCCUCACUGGUCUUAAAGCCGCCGUUGGCCCGGCGUGGGCUUCCUGUCGGAUUAAAUUGGCUUGCGAGAAGAGCUGACGGCUAAAAUAGACACACGGGUUGCCCCCCCCCACCCCCCCCACCCUCUCCUUUAUUCAGUUUACUAGUCCUCAGUGCCCCCUUCUGUCUCUCGCUCUGUCUCCAUCUCUCUGUUUCUCUGCGCUCACGUCUACAUCUUUCCCUCAGAUAACUCCGUCAGUAAUAAGUUCCAGUGGAGGUCCCUCCAAUCCCCCCCCCCCGGUGAGUAAGUGAUUUACGACACAAACUGAACGGAGGAAAAUAAGGUUAAAGCUUCACUCUCAGUGCUUCUGUUCUGCACUGCUUCCUUUCAGGCUUUUUUGAUUUCUCCAUUGUGUUCCUCGUCUUUUCUCCUUCAUUUUCUCUUUUUGUCUCUUCUUUAUUUAUCUCUCUUCUUUUGCCCUCCCCACUCCUCCCCCUUUGUUUCAUCAGCACCGCCGUCUUUUACUUGUGAAGCGGAAUGGGGGAAAGCGAGACUGAGCGAGGCAGAGAAACGGGGGACAGGAAAAGUAGGAAAUCAAAUGUGUUUAUUAUCGAUGCCCGUUUGUGAUUCUUGGAACGUCGUGAGAGCAAAAUGCUCCAAAGCAUUUAUUAGCUGAAGAGGCCGAGAUUACAGGUUUAAAGACAACACACUCAUGUUAUUGUGGCUUCAAUAUCCUGCAGCCAGAGGUGGGUGUGUUUAUAUUGACAGUCACAGAAACAUCUACAGCUGGUAUCAAAUAGGCCGGAUUUACUGCACGUCUGCAGCUUGUGUGUGUGUGUGUGUUGUGCCAAAUGCAGCAGCUGAUACCAAGCUUCAGCGGGUUUAUGCAAAGUAACUCAGACGGCAUAAUAAAUACAGACAAACAUUCACACACAGUGACACUAAGACGCUGCUUAACAAGGAGAUUAUGCCCGUUGAGAGAUAUUUGGGCUUCCUGUAAUUUAGAAGAUGGUAAUCAUGUAAAGCUUGUGUUGCUCUUGCGGCGAUUAACAGUUUCAUUUUCUCUCCCGCUGCACAUUACGUUAGCUUUAAUUGUGAAAAAUCACUAUAUGAUCCUAGACAGUAUGUAACAAGUGCACAUCGUGACGUCACUCGUU